GUGGGGAAUCUUAGACAAUGGGGGCAACCCUGAUCUAGCCAUGCCGCGUGAGUGAUGAAGGCCUUAGGGUCGUAAAGCUCUUUCGCUGGGGAAGAUAAUGACGGUACCCAGUAAAGAAACCCCGGCUAACUCCGUGCCAGCAGCCGCGGUAAUACGGAGGGGGUUAGCGUUGUUCGGAAUUACUGGGCGUAAAGCGCGCGUAGGCGGAUUGGCAAGUUGGGGGUGAAAUCCCGGGGCUCAACCCUGGAAUGGCCUUCAAAACUCCCAGUCUUGAGGUCGAGAGAGGUGAGUGGAAGUCCGAGUGUAGAGGUGAAAUUCGUAGAUAUUCGGAGGAACACCAGUGGCGAAGGCGGCUCACUGGCUCGAUACUGACGCUGAGGUGCGAAAGCGUGGGGAGCAAACAGGAUUAGAAACCCUGGUAGUCC
rnacentral:rRNA from 1 species